UAAUACGUAGGGUGCGAGCGUUGUCCGGAAUUAUUGGGCGUAAAGGGCUCGUAGGCGGUCUGUCGCGUCGGGAGUGAAAACUCAGGGCUUAACCCUGAGCCUGCUUCCGAUACGGGCAGACUAGAGGUAUGCAGGGGAGAACGGAAUUCCUGGUGUAGCGGUGAAAUGCGCAGAUAUCAGGAGGAACACCGGUGGCGAAGGCGGUUCUCUGGGCAUUACCUGACGCUGAGGAGCGAAAGUGUGGGGAGCGAACAGGAUUAGAUACCCUGGUAGUC
rnacentral:rRNA from 1 species